rnacentral:lncRNA from 1 species
UUCGCGAUGAUGCUUGAAGCUGGCCAUUGGAGAUGCAGAUUUUGAAAGCCUUAAGGAAGAUCACAUUUGCAUAUAGGCAUCUAUAUUUUGUAUAAACCUUGGGACUUGUACAUGAUCUUUGUGCUGUAUAUUUACAUGAGAUUUUGAGGGCUGAUUUGGUCAUGUCACCAUGGGUUGUAAUAUAAGUAUGGUUAUACAUUUUUAUCUUUUUGGGGUGUGUAAACCCAAGUUUUGUAAUAUACUGAUUUUGCUAUAUGUCUUGAAAGUUGUGUGAAGCAUGAGUUGGCUGA